rnacentral:rRNA from 1 species
CUGUCUUAGUGGCGGACGGGUGAGUAACGCGUGGGCAACCUGCCCUGUACCGGGGGAUAACACUUAGAAAUAGGUGCUAAUACCGCAUAAUAGGGAAUACCGCAUGGUAAUCCUUUGAAAACUCCGGUGGUACAGGAUGGGCCCGCGUCUGAUUAGCCAGUUGGCGGGGUAACGGCCCACCAAAGCGACGAUCAGCAGCCGGCCUGAGAGGGCGGACGGCCACACUGGGACUGAGACACGGCCCAGACUCCUACGGGAGGCAGCAG